rnacentral:snoRNA from 1 species
GUGCACAUUUCCUUACUUUCUCUUUACAUCAAGACAAAAGAUAUUUCUGAAGUGUUAAAUAAACCUUUGGGGGGGCAGUAAAUUAGCAGCAUGGCUAACUUAGCCAUUGCUGCCAGUCACCUUCAGAUAAGA